CCCUUAGAUGUUCUGGGCCGCACGCGUGCUACACUGAGUGGAUCAGCGGGUCAGGUUGCGCGAAAGUGUUUCCUAAUCUUGAAAUCCGCUCGUGAUGGGGAUUGACGGUUGCAAUUUUCCGUCAUGAACGAGGAAUACCUUGUAAGCGCGGGUCAUCAUCCCGCGCUGAAUACGUCCCUGCCCUUUGUACACACCGCCCGUCGCUCCUACCGAUUGAGUGAUCCGGUGAGGCUUUGGGAUCUGAGCGGAAAGAGCGUUUCGCUGUUUCUGCUCGGAAAACUCAGUCGAACCUUAUCAUUUAGAGGAAGGAGAAGUCGUAACA
rnacentral:rRNA from 1 species